AUGGGCUAUCUCUUGGCAGAUAUAAAGGAAGUGCUUCCUGGGUAGCGGACCAGGUAUUAAAAAUUUACAUAGACGAAGAAGAUAACAGGUGUCCUCCUCAUGACUCUGCAGUCAUGAAAAGGCAAUCUUUGAACUUUUAAACAUCGCCGAUAGAUUUGGAUUACUGGAGCACUGCCAUACGAAAUCCAGCAUAGCCGUUUUCUCUGGGCUGUUUGCAAAACACGCCAAUGGUACUAAAUAACGCUGGCGAUCCUUUAUGUUGUCACAUUUUCCGUGAAGUUUGAUGGUCUCUCGGAGAGUAUGUCGGCGCGUUACUUCCAUCAAUCAGCAAAGACCUUCUUGGCGAGCCCAAUGAAUUACCUAUUUGCGAUAUUAAAAUAUUUUGGCUUUUAUUAACCCCCAAUUAGAUGGAUAUGAGGUGACAAUGGAAGACUGCUACCGUCGCGUUUUUCCAUGGCAGUUGGCUAAUGAUAUAUCGUUCCAAGAAAAAUUCAGUUUGAUAGAUGCCUGGAUGCUUUGUAUCCGAAGCAAAGAAGAAGUUUUGCAGUUAAGAGAGGAAAUGGGAAGAUAUGAAACAGGAUUGAUGACCAUUAGAAGAAAAAUAGAAGAUAUCUUUCAAAGGGACCAUAAAAGUGGCGAUAUCUUAGUUCGUGGAAAGCGUUCAUUAUGCAGUCGGAACUAAAGAGACUUGAUCGCUUGUUAAACGAUUGUGACAUCUGGUUUAGGGGUGCGGUUAGCGCCUAUUCGAGGAAUAAUAGAGUACAUGUAGUAGUAGGUAAUAAUGAAGAUGAUAGCGACGAUGAAAACGAUUGUGAAAGUAGUGAUGACAACGAGGAACCUUGACGAUGAGGCUGAUUUUGGUGAAAACAUUGAUAAUUGUGAUGCCGAAGAGAUUGAUGAUUCUACAUCGGAUGAUUCUAUUGUAUUGAAUUAGGCAGUAAUCUUCUAUUGGCAAAAAGUGUACGGUUACAUUUCCUAAAUACUUUCUUCAUGACCGCUGAAAUAAACUAUUUUCUCAUGA